UUCUCCUUACCAGAAGGGUGAAACUAAAUCUGAUUUUGAGGUGAGUUUUAGUUUUAGGUCUUUAUUUAUCACGACCUGGAAACUAUGAAUUCAAAGUAUUAGAUAUGGAUUUUUGGCUAAAGUUAGGGAUGGAUUAGAUGGAAUCGCUUGCAAUAGAGACACGGCGGCAUAUAUUUAUUAGCUAUUUUGAUUUAGUUUGAAACAGUAGUUGUUGUUAAGAGCUAUUCAACUAUCAUUACUCAUUUUCCUUUCAAUAUAGCUUCUAUAUAGGAUUAAAGGGCUGGGGUUUCAAGGAGGGGACUGGAAGAUGUAAGAUUUCUUUACAGAAACGAGUAUCAGGUGAAACAACUGCGGCGAAACACGAAGGGAAAGAAGAGGACGGUGAAUACUACGUUUGGCUCGAGUGAGUAGAUCCAAGUGGAUGAAUGGAAAAGUAAAAGUAUUUUGUGACAUCUGUUCUAUCCUUUGUGUACCCUGUAAAAUCAUGUUUUGGUGAGACCUGAACUUACGUACAAAUUAUCUAUGGGUUAAGUAGAUACAGACUUAUGUAAAUAUAUAUAUAGUAGUUGUAAAAAGAAGGCAGUAAUAUUUAUAGGUAGCCGCGCAGAUGUUUUGAAUCAGUGAAGUUUCUUUUGUAUUUCAAUGUUAAUUGUAAACAUAGUAGUAAGAGUUUGGGGCGUGACAAUUA